AUGUGGGCUCGUGUUGUGGUUUCGAAGUAUUUCCAAAGAGUUUUCAGUUCUGAGGCAAAAAUGCAGGAAGAGUUAAAAGAAAUUGUUCUAUGUACAGGGAAUAAAAAUAAACUAAAGGAAUUCAUGCAAAUACUAGGACCAGACUUUCCUUACAAGAUCACUAAUGUCGAUGUUGACUUGCCGGAAUUUCAAGGAGAACCCGAGGAAGUGGCCACAGAGAAGUGUAAGCUGGCGGCCGAGCGGUUGAAGUGUCCAGUAGUGACCGAGGAUACCAGUCUCUGCUUCAAUGCUUUAGGUGGACUCCCGGGUCCCUACAUCAAAUGGUUCCUUAAAAAGCUAGGACCAGAAGGUAUAUGUACUAGCUUGCCAAAAAAUAUCUGUUUCUCUUGAUAAUAUCAGACUUCUGACUUUGUCAGUGUGUAUUGAUAAAAAAUUCAUUCAAUGCUUUUUGCCAUCUUUGUUAGUCAAGAUGCACUUUUUCACAAUAUGAGUGGGACUACAAAGUGUAGUGAUGCACAUGUUCAUCAGUUGGUAGGUUUCUAACACAGAACUUUAUUUAAUUUGCUUUUAAACUUCCUCAAAACAAUUUAAUUUGUUUUUUAAACAGUUUUGUUUUUCUAAUGACUGGAAUAUUUUACAGGUCUACACAAGAUGCUUAGUGGCUUCGAGGAUAAGUCAGCUACAGCAAUGUGUAUUUUAGCCUACAGCUCAGGUGAAAAAGACUCUGAGGUGAAAUUAUUCUGUGGGAAAACCCCUGGGGAGAUUGUGGCGCCCAGGGGACCCAAUGAUUUUGGCUGGGACCCAUGCUUUCAACCUGAUGGUUUUAAACAGACCUAUGCAGAGAUGCCAAAAGAAACAAAAAACACUAUUUCACACAGAUACAAAGCUGUUGAACUCUUUAAGAAGAAUUUCCAAAAGUAAUGAUCAUACCAAAUGUAGACAAUACAGGAAAUCUUUGUGAAAAAGAAAAUAUCAGAAAAUGGGUUUAUUCUGUGCUGAAGAAGAAAGCAACCACUUUUGUAACUCUUUUGUAUAUUAUAAAAGUUGACAUUUGUUGUUUCUAUGUCAAAAUGUCAAUUUAUCUCUGUUCAGAAAAAAAAACUUUGCAAAUUAUUAAGAAUCUCAGACUUCUUAAUUUGUAUUUUUUUGGGACCACAACAUCAAUACUUUAUUCUGGAUAUAAUAUUAAUCCAGUCAUGUAGAUGUUUUAUUCAUUUUAAUCAAAGUUCUAAAUAACUCAAUUGCCAAGGAGGCAAGAAGGAAGGCAGGUUGUUACAUCCAGAAAGUUCUUUUGAUUGUAGCUGUGAAUCUGUAAAACUCUUCUUAGCUUCAAGAACAAUAAUUUUCGAAAAUAGAAUGUUUGUCACAAAUACUGGCACAACAACGAUCUUUCAAGAACCACAUUGCAUAACAAACCUGGAACCAGAAUGAUGGAAUCAAUGAACAAUACGGUUGUUUUUAUCAAAGAUUCUGAGAAUAACAAGCCAUUGAUUUAGUUCUCUGUACAUUUCCAGCAAUCUUUUAGAAAUUCACUGACCCGCAAGAUUUCAUUCCUAUACAGUGAAUGCAUAAAUAUGUAUUUGGAUCUUUCCAUUUUAAUUUUGGAAAUCAAAUACAACAGUUGCAGACCUGCAUUAUUUCUUGCAUUCUCGUAACGUUUGAAAUAAAAAAAAUAUCUACGUUU
rnacentral:misc_RNA from 1 species